AGUGAACGCUGGCGGUAGGCCUAACACAUGCAAGUCGAACGGCAGCACAGUAAGAGCUUGCUCUUACGGGUGGCGAGUGGCGGACGGGUGAGGAAUACAUCGGAAUCUACUUUUUCGUGGGGGAUAACGUAGGGAAACUUACGCUAAUACCGCAUACGACCUACGGGUGAAAGCAGGGGAUCUUCGGACCUUGCGCGAUUGAAUGAGCCGAUGUCGGAUUAGCUAGUUGGCGGGGUAAAGGCCCACCAAGGCGACGAUCCGUAGCUGGUCUGAGAGGAUGAUCAGCCACACUGAAACUGAGACACGGUCCAGACUCCUACGGGAGGCAGCAGUGGGGAAUAUUGGACAAUGGGCGCAAGCCUGAUCCAGCCAUACCGCGUGGUGAAGAAGGCCUUCGGGUUGUAAAGCCCUUUUGUCGGGAAAGAAAAGCAGCAGGUUAAUACCCCGCUGUUCUGACGGUACCCAAAGAAUAAGCACCGGCUAACUUCGUG
rnacentral:rRNA from 1 species